ACAGCAAGAUCUGCCUGUACCCUGUUCGGAACACUUCCAUCUGGAUGCUUUAAACGAUGAAUCUCAUGGAUGGACACUGAAGGAUGGCACACUUGUAGCUCAGUUCGAAAACAAAUUGUUGGAUAAACAGGAAUAAAAAUCAAGUGGAGUUGCAACAAUUGAAUCCUUAUAACAACACAAACAAGAUUUCUCUCAGUUUGUGUACCUCUUUGUUCUCUGGGCCAUGUUCUGGAGCCUCGAAUUGUGUUCAUAUCUCUUGCAACCAAUGUUUUUUUUACUGCUCGGGUAUAUCGUCUGUGUCCAAGUCGUUGUUCUAAUUGCAUUUUGUGCUCUACUCACACACACCACAUUAAAGCUGAGGCGUCUUUCAGAUCGUUCGAAUUCAACAGAGUUUAACAAUCUUCAACCUUCAACAUGAAAUUCAUUUUGAUCUUGGUUUGUCUGGCGAUCUUUGUGGCCCACACACAGGCCCAGAGAAGGCCCCCCGUACGACCUCCCACAAGACCUCCAACAAGACCUCCAACAAGACCUCCCACACGAGGUCCCACAAGAGGUCCAAGUAGUUGCCGUGGCGCCGUUUCAGCUAACCGACAGGCUUGCACAGGCGGUAAAAACGAAGGAAAUGCCAAUGGUCGCCAGUGCCCCGCCAAUGCCAAUAGGGAGAUGUGGUGGUACGACAGCAGGAGCCGAUCCUGCAAGAAGAUGUCCUACAAGGGAUGCGGCGGCAACAACAAUCGCUAUUGCACUCGCAAAGCCUGCGAAACCAAGUGCAGGCGUCGCACCUAAUAAUCCAAACAAAAGGUCUCACUGUCUACUUGGCGCUUUGUCCACGACAUCACGACAUCCAAAAAAAAGCCUUAGAUGGAAGCCUACUUGUUCAGACUAUGUCCUGGAUCACACUUGGAAAAUUGUUCGAAAACUCAUUCCCCAUGUAGAUGUCGAGUCACAGCUGCUAUAGACAGAGAUUUAAGGAAACGGAGUAUAAAAAACAAAAAUUUUAAAGGGCCUGCACCUCCUCAGGCAAUCGCGUAG